GGGGAUUGGGUAUACCUUAAACUGCACCAUUUGCUCAACAUAUAGCCGAUAAACAUAGAAGUGAACUAGAAUUUCAGCUAGGGGAUUGGGUAUACCUUAAACUGCACCAUUUGCUCAACACUCCAUGGCCAGGAGGGUUAAUAGGAAAUUGGCUGCGAAAUACUAUGGACCUUACCAAGUAAUUCAAAAAUUGGAAAAGUCGUAAAUAAACUAAAACUAUCUGCUGGAGCUUACAUUCAUCCUGUUUUUCAUGUUUUACUACUGAAGAAGAAAAUUGGCGAGAAGGAAAUGCCUAUCUUUGACAUACCAGAACAAUGGAAGAGUGAUGUACCUCAAUCUUCUGAACCUUGGGGACAAGGUUGGUCGAAGGGGAAGGGAUGUUAUGAAGGAGAAGAAGGGAAUCAAUGGAAGUGGCAUUAGAAGGAAAAAAAAGGAGCAGACACAGGACAUAGAGAGAGGAAGACGAGGGCUAAUGGUCAUAUCCAAUAUUCAAAUUCAGAUAUUUGAAAUAACGUCGUUUCGAUGGAAAUUAAAUGAUGUCAUUUUGUUUUAGAAAUAACCGAUGUCAUUUCAGUUAUAAUCAAAUUGUAUGAGUUAAACGCCUUUUCUUCUCAGCAUUCGCAUUUUCUUCCUGGUUAGUCUGUUAUAACUAUUGUAAUUAGGGAAACAUGGGAGAAUUUGUAAUGUGAAUUAGAUUCUUCUUCCCCAAGUCUUUCUUCUAUCUCUUCCCCUUUCUCUAUCAAUUCUCCUGUAG
rnacentral:lncRNA from 1 species